GAUGAACGCUGGCGGCGUGCUUAAUACAUGCAAGUCGAACGGAGACUGUAGCAAUACUGUCUUAGUGGCGAACGGGUGAGUAACGCGUUGGUGACCUGCCCCGAAGAGAGGGAUAACAGUCCGAAAGGAUUGCUAAUACCCCAUGUGGUCGUUUGGAUUAGAUGCCUUAUGACUAAACGGAUUUAUUCGCUUCGGGAGGGGCCUGCGUCCCAUCAGCUAGUUGGUGAGGUAAUAGCUUACCAAGGCGAUGACGGGUAGGGGACCUGAGAGGGUGGCCCCCCACAAUGGAACUGCAACACGGUCCAUACACCUACGGGUGGCAGCAGUAGGGAAUAUUGGUAAUCUGGGAAACCGGGAACCAGCAACGCCGCGUGCGCGAUGACGGCCUUCGGGUUGUAAAGCGCUUUUUAAAGGGAUGAGGAAGGACAGUACCUUUAGAAUAAGCCUCGGCUAACUACGUGCCAGCCGCCGCGGUAAAAC
rnacentral:rRNA from 1 species